CGAUGCAACGCGAAAACCUUACUACCCUUGACAUGUCCGGAAUCCCGAAGAGAUUUGGGAGUGCUCGCAAGAGAGCCGGAACACAGGUGCUGCAUGGCUGUCGUCAGCUCGUGUCGUGAGAUGUUGGGUUAAGUCCCGCAACGAGCGCAACCCUUGUCAUUAGUUGCCAUCAUUUGGUUGGGCACUCUAAUGAGACUGCCGGUGACAAACCGGAGGAAGGUGGGGAUGACGUCAAGUCCUCAUGGCCCUUAUGGGUAGGGCUUCACACGUCAUACAAUGGUCGGUACAGAGGGUUGCCAACCCGCGAGGGGGAGCUAAUCCCACAAAGCCGAUCGUAGUCCGGAUCGCAGUCUGCAACUCGACUGCGUGAAGUCGGAAUCGCUAGUAAUCGUGGAUCAGCAUGUCACGGUGAAUACGUUCCCGGGUCUU
rnacentral:rRNA from 1 species